GACUGCUAAGACAUAUGAACAUUCCUACAGAAAAACUCUCCAAUACACUCUGACAAACAUAAAUGAUUAUUAUGAACUUUUGUUUGUUGUCGAUUAUGAUAACUGAAAAGUAGUAAUCUUGUUGAAGAGUAAAAUUGUUUCACUGUGAAGUUGAUUUGUAUGGUAGAGGAAAUUCAUGAAAUAUUCCGAAACAAAUUUGCUCAUCGAACAAACUACAGACACAUACAAAUGAUCACUGACACAUUCCUAAUCAAUACUUUGAUAAAGUGAGUGAUCCAUUCAUAAUCAGCAUCAUCAGAGUAAUCCAAGUCCCUGUUGGAGUCAGUCAGAGCAUUUCCAUAGAGAGCCACUUUGCAUCAGCAGCACCAUGCUCCAGUGCUCUGGGAGAGUUUAUAGUCCUGAGAGUUGAACACUGGAUGACUGACAGCUGUCCUUCAUGACAACAGAAGCCACAGAAAUCCUCCUCAUCAAAAACAUGACUUUGAUCUCCGUCCUCAUCUGGACUCUCCUCUGCUGCUGCUUCACAGAGUCCAGAGGUCAGGUCACAGUGACUCAGCCUGGAGCAGUGAGCUCUGCUGUGGGAGGCUCCUUCACCAUCACAUGUAGAACCAGUCAGGAUGUUUAUAGCUCUAACCAUUUAGCCUGGUACCAACAGAGAGAUGGAGAAACUCCUAAACCGCUCAUAUACUAUGCCAGCACUCGAGAAUCAGGGAUUCCAGAUCGUUUUACAGGCAGUGGAUCAAACUCUGACUUCACUCUGACCAUCAGUGGAGUCCAGACUGAAGAUGCAGCAGUUUACUACUGUCAGAGUUUUCAUGUCAUCAACAGUCAGUGGUUGUUCACACAGUGAAAAAGCGUCGUACAAAAACCUCCCUCAGUCAGACUGAACAGAAACUGAGCUGACUGCUGCAGUUGGAAGCUACUGCAGAGACUGAUGCACUUCACUGAGGACACACACACACACACACAGACACACACAC